rnacentral:lncRNA from 1 species
UUAUACCAAAAUCUACUUAAAUCUUAAACUAUACAAUACAAUGAUUCGAGAGUGUGUGUGUGAGAAUCCAACGAGCAUACCUCAGAGAAUGGAACUGGAGUUACCAAUGUUGCAUCAAUUAUUUGACACUAUUUCAAUAAAUAUUCACAAAUGUUCAUUGUUUGAAGGUUCACAAUUGUUCGAUCACACAGCUCCACACUACACUGUCAUCAGUGUUGUCCAUUGUCUCCGUCUCAAUGGGAUGAGUUGCCUUUUCCAUCAUCAAGACUUACAUUUUGUAUUGUUGUUCAUUCACCUUCAAAAGUAAACUCUUGACUUCUUCUGACUAACUUCUGUCUUCUCUACUGACUGACUAACUUUCUUCUCUCUACCGACCUCCAUCUGCUCUGUCUUAUUCGUUUAUAUUACCCCGAUGUUUUUGAUGUUU